UCCAGGAGGGGGUGGGAGGCUCAUGAGACGCCGGAGGUAAACAAAAGGUGACAGGUACGGGAAAAUGGAAACUCAGAAGAUUCUCGAAGGCCCCUCCCCCAGAGUAAACAACUGUUUGGUGUGGAGGAGACUGACUGGAGAGCUGCGGAGGAGCAAUUCUCAGACCACUGAACUGUCUGGAAAAGAAAUGUGCAGAGAGCUACAGAGUUGGACUUGUGUGAGUCAUCGCUGAUGUUGGGUGGGUUUUGCAGGGAUUCAGCCGUCUCUGAGUCAUCUCGGCUCCUGUAAGUGAACCCCUCAACCAUAUUCCAGUAAGCAAUCCCAGUGAAAACGCACUGGCAUCAAGCUGGACUUCAGUGCCAUUACUACUUUGGUCUGUCCUGGUUUUCUUUUCUAGGGUAUCAAGAGUUCAAAAUGGCCAAAGAGAAGUCUUCCAGUUCAAUGGGGUAUUUUUUUCCUCCUGACAUAAGCCUCUCCCCUUUGAAAUGAAGACUUCACAUCAUCGGAGCACAAAAUCACCUGGUCAGUAGAUGGGGACUACUGUCGAUUUUCUUAACUGAACUCUAACCUACCCAAAGGCGAGAAUAACCACAGUGAGAUAAUGGAGUGAAUCACAGAAGACAAAGCCUAGACCACAUGGGACCUCUGUGGUUGCUUCAUCACUGCAUCCCCUGGCUGGGCAAAACCGCUCUAUGACAUUCCCUUAUGCUUUAAGAUAGUAUAUAUAAAUUUCAUAUUUUUAAAUAAGAAUCAAGGAAAGCUCAGACAUUUAAAUAUACUUUUUCGUUCAUUCUGGUUUUGCUUCUACAAAUAGCACAUAAGGUAUAACAACAUAGACUGUAUUUUCUAAGAUAUUACUAUAAUUAAAGACUAUUUCAAAUCUC